rnacentral:rRNA from 1 species
ACUACGGGAGGCAGCAGUGGGGAAUAUUGCACAAUGGGCGCAAGCCUGAUGCAGCCAUGCCGCGUGUGUGAAGAAGGCCUUCGGGUUGUAAAGCACUUUCAGCGGGGAGGAAGGCGUCAAGGUUAAUAACCUUGUCGAUUGACGUUACCCGCAGAAGAAGCACCGGCUAACUCCGUGCCAGCAGCCGCGGUAAUACGGAGGGUGCAAGCGUUAAUCGGAAUUACUGGGCGUAAAGCGCACGCAGGCGGUCUGUCAAGUCGGAUGUGAAAUCCCCGGGCUCAACCUGGGAACUGCAUUCGAAACUGGCAGGCUAGAGUCUUGUAGCGGGGGGGUAGAAUUCCAGGUGUAGCGGUGAAAUGCGUAGAGAUCUGGAGGAAUACCGGUGGCGAAGGCGGCCCCCUGGACAAAGACUGACGCUCAGGUGCGAAAGCGUGGGGAGCAAACAGGAUUAGAUACCCCAGUAGUC